UACGGGGGGGCAAGCGUUGUUCGGAAUUACUGGGCGUAAAGGGCUCGUAGGCGGCCAACUAAGUCAGACGUGAAAUCCCCAGGCUUAACCUGGGAACUGCGUCUGAUACUGGAUGGCUUGAAUUCGGGAGAGGGAUGCAGAAUUCCAGGUGUAGCGGUGAAAUGCGUAGAUAUCUGGAGGAAUACCGGUGGCGAAGGCGGCAUCCUGGACCGAGAUUGACGCUGAUGAGCGAAAGCUAGGGAGCAAACGG
rnacentral:rRNA from 1 species